rnacentral:lncRNA from 1 species
UCCAUUGUAAACACAUGAGAUUGUCAGACAGUCAGCCAACAGGAGCAGAGACUGAAAUCCAGCCUGAGCUAUUGCUCUGAGCAUCAGUCCAGAAGAGGAAUACUUCUUUGUAAUUGUCUACCCAAAAGGGAGAUUCUUGGAUUUUAUGCAGAGAUGUCAUAUGAGGGUUGAUAAACUAUACGUCUUCAGAAGGCUAACCCAGGCUUUUUCACAUAGAAACUGAGUUCCAAAAACAGGCACAGCUCAAAGGAAGCAACCACAUUAGAAGCAGGAGAAGUGUUCGUGAGAGCAAAGUAGAAAGGACAGACUAAUUGAAAUGAUAUGAGAAGCGUUUCAAACUCUUCUCCAAAAUAAGAAUCAGCUUCACUGUAUUUAAAAAUC